AGCCCGUUCUGUCCGACAGUUUCGUUCCAAAGGUGUUAAAAAAGGAACUUUCGUUCCCGAUUACCCUUGCCUCCUUACCUCUCCCUUUCACUUUGCGCACGCAGAGCUGGAGAAAGAAGAAACCGGAGAAGCAACUCGACCUAAUCCUUGACACAACAGAAGGAUCCUGCAUCAUUCUUCUCAAGGGAGAACUCCACUGCUCAUCUCUGCUCGACUCUGCUCGUCGAUCAUGUCUUUUCAGAUCUCAUCUGUGAAGACCAGAUCUUUGCAAGUUUUGAACAUGAUCUCUGCUCGUUUUCGCUCAAACAGGUACGCAUCUCAUGGAGCCGUUUGUGGGUUUUUGUUGAUUGAGUUUUCUAAUAGCGGAUUGAACCCUAAUCCUUGACACAGCAGGUACGAUUUCUUCUUCUUCGUUUUGUUGAUUGGGUUUUCUACCCGUUUAUGGGUAUUUGCCGAUUAGGGAUUAAGGCUCGAACUAACAACCUUAGAGAACUAUGUUCAGAGAACCUUUGGGUUUUCUAUCUUGUUCCUAUUGAAUUAAUCUCUUUCUUCAUUAAGAAUCAACGACAGUAAUUGGGGUGCUUGAAAUCCAUCCAUAAGGCGAAAAAAAAAAAAACUUAAGUGAUGAGAACAAUUCUAAUGCAAAAGUACACGGAUUUAAAACUUUAUGAAGAGUAGUCACUGGUGUUGUUCUUUGUUUGAGCUUCACGUUGGAUGCUUUCCAUCUCGGUGAAACAAGAUUUUCAUCAUAGGUUUGGGCCUCUUCAUUGAUUAACAAUCGUGCGAGUUUUCUCUUUUAUUUCGAUUAUAUAGAGGUAUAAAAUCAUUUCCAGAUUUGUGUCUUUCCCAUCUUCUCUAUUCUUCAUCGCAUUGCCUACUCACUUUCAUGUUAAUUGGUUUGGAUAAAGGGUUUGACCUUUUACUGCCAUUGGUUUCUCUCCCCUGUGGGUAUUGCUGCAUUAUGAUGAUGAAGUUUGAUUACAAAAAAAGUUCUUGAACUGUUCGAUGAAAUGCAUGAGAGGAAUUAAUUUUGUAGGGUCAUAAUUUACGAUUUGUCUAGAGCAGCAAUACCUGUUUUGGUUGUUGCAAUAUUUCAAUUCAACAAACAGAGAGGGAGAAUAUUUCCAAUGAAGUCUGAACAGCAAUACCUCAAUUUUCUAUUCUGAAAUUUCCUCCUUUUUUCUCAAGUGCAACCAAAUGCCUAUAAGCAAACGCAACCAAAAAGCAUAUUGCCUUCAUAUUCAGAAGAUGAACUUUGUUAUUUCUUUUUUUAGUAUCAGUCUUUUUUAACCCAGUAUGCUAACUUUUUACGCUAACUCAUACUGUCUAGUUGUUAUGUCUGGAAGUAGUAUCACUGCCGUUAAGUGGUCAGAACUUGAGACCACUGUUUUCAUUGAGCCAAUGAAAGAAGCUGUAAAAAAUGGACACAAAUACAGUAAUUCAUUUAACAAAACUGGAUGGGAGGACAUUACAAAGUAAUUUCAGAAGGCUUUAAAUCGUACAGUUGGGAGAGAACAAUUACGCAACAAGAUGAACAAGUUGAAACACGAGUACCAACAAUUCAAGAGACUACUUGACACAAUUGGAUUUGGGUGGAACUCAAUGACAAACUCAGUCACAGUUGAUGAUGAGUCUGUAUGGGAUAGGGCAAUACAGGCAAAUCCAGGUUGGUUGAAAUACAAGAAGUGUGGACUAAACAACUGGCCAGAUUUGAGCAUGGUAUUUAGGGAUGCCUAUGCUAGAGGAAACUUAGGGGGUGAUAGUGCUCAAGAUUUGGAUUACAACGAAGCUGAUAAUAGUGUUGAUAUUGAGCAAGUCUUUGAAUCUCCUAGUACCGUAGUGCAUUUGGGCAUGAUUGACCCCUUCCAUGAGAAUACUCCUACUCCAACUCAGACCACCACAAAGUAAAAUCUUGAUAGGACACCCACGGGACGAAGAAAAAAUAGCUUUAAUAAGGGAGAUAGCCACGUCAAGGACUUGUAUGGGAAGUAUUUAUCCAUUAAAAUUGAGAAAGCAUCCAGUACUUCUGUUAUAUCUUCUGUUCGUGGUGGGGAAGGUGCAUUUCGUCCUCGAGAUUUCAGUGUGAGUGCAUGUGAGGCGGUAUUAUCCUCCAUACCGAAUAUGUCAAAGGAGACGUACUUGAAGGCCACUAGUCGUAUGUGUGUUGAUCCUAGUUGGAGGGAGUUGUUUGUCUGUGCAGAGCCUGUUGAUAUAUUAUUACGAAUGUCAUAUAUUUGGAUGCUAUAUUAACUUCUUUGAUAUUUAAAUUACUGUUACAGAUGACUUCUUCUAUGCCUCCACUAAUAAUAGUAAAUUGUGAAAUUUACG